rnacentral:rRNA from 1 species
GACGUAGGGGGCGAGCGUUGUCCGGAUUUAUUGGGCGUAAAGGGCGUGUAGGCGGCUGGGUAAGGGUUGGGUGAAAUCUGCCGGCUUAACUGGCAGGGGUCCUGGCCGACUGCCUGGCUUGAGGGUGGUAGGGGCGCGCGGAAUUCCCGGUGUAGUGGUGAAAUGCGUAGAGCUCGGGAGGAACACCGGUGGCGAAGGCGGCGCGCUGGGCCAACUCUGACGCUGAGACGCGAAAGCGUGGGGAGCGAACUGG